rnacentral:rRNA from 1 species
CAAUAGCGUAUAUUUAAGUUGUUGCAGUUAAAAAGCUCGUAGUUGGAUUUCGGUUAAGAGCGACCGGUCCGCCGUUUGGUGUGCACUGGUUGGUUUUAACUUCCUGUAGAGGACGUGCUCUGGGUUUAACGACCUGGACUCGGAGUCUACGUGGUUACUUUGAAAAAAUUAGAGUGUUCAAAGCGGGCUUACGCUUGAAUAUUUCAGCAUGGAAUAACACUAUAGGAAUCCUGUCCUAUUUCGUUGGUCUCGGGACGGGAGUAAUGAUUAAGAGGAACAGUUGGGGGCAUUCGUAUUUCAUUGUCAGAGGUGAAAUUCUUGGAUUUAUGAAAGACGAACUUCUGCGAAAGCAUUUGCCAAGGAUGUUUUCAUUA